UACGUAGGCGGCCAUAUAAGUCAGAAGUGAAAGGCUACGGCUUAACCGUAGUAAGCUUUUGAAACUGUAUGGCUUGAGUGCAGGAGAGGAAAGCAGAAUUCCUAGUGUAGCGGUGAAAUGCGUAGAUAUUAGGAAGAACACCAGUAGCGAAGGCGGCUUUCUGGACUGAAACUGACGCUGAGGUACGAAAGCGUGGGGAGCGAACAGGAUUAGAUACCCUGGUAGUCC
rnacentral:rRNA from 1 species